UGAAAAAUAGCCUGUAUUGUUGACAUGCUGGAGCACUGCUGGGGUCACUAACGUUUUUUGACUGAGGAAAGUUGUGUGGACGUUAAGUCCAAUUUCAAGCAUAUUUAAUAACCACAGUGGUAGUGGAGUUUGUUGUUUUGUGGAACUUGUGAAAAACUGCAGCUGCUCAGCUGGUUGCGUUACAGAAAGCCCCUAUUGCAGCGCAUUGCCGUGACUGGACUAAGUACUCGUCCAUGAACCUGCCCACAAAUUACUGUGUUGAGCCCAUUGCCCGGUUACCUGCUGCUGUUUGUGCUGUGAUACACUAUAUAGCACCACGUUCACACAAAGAUAUAUCGUUCAGCAUAUGAGUGCACAUUGAUUUUUAUGUAUGCUGGUAUUUAGUAUCUGUCACAUUAUUUGGGACCUCCAAAAGUCUCCUGCCACAGGUCUGUGAUUGGCCGAGAGAAUCAGUAGUUGGAGAGUUUGAGUGCGAGGCUGAUCGAUGAGAGCCUGGAGCAGGAUGAACCAACCAGAGAGGCAGUUGUCUUUUCCCCCCUAUCUCAUCCCACCCCAGGCAGAUCUGCUGUCACAGUUCAACACAAAGGGUCACAGCUCAAAAACCAACUGCUCCGUACAAGAUUUUGAUAGGUUUUGCUGUGGCUUGUCGAUCCAAGGCCAAACUGUCAUGACAAUGUACACGGAUCCUGUGACGUGUGCUACCUCAUCACACCCUUUUUGUUGAACUGCAAAAUGCUGCACUGCCAAUAUUACUACAGAAUUUAAUUUUGUAACAAGGACACACUUCCACAAAGGUUGAUGGCAAAUUUCAUUUAGCAGAUGAAUUUGGUGGGUCUGCUGGUCAGUAAAAGUUGUAUUUUCUGUUGCAUCAAACCACUGACUUUAGCAUCAGCAAUGCCAAGAGCGAAACAAAAAUUGUCUAACCAUUGUGCUUUGUAAAUAUGACACAAAUAAACCCUCAGAAAUUUU